AGUGUUUCACAAGCCCUGCCAGAGUUUCAUGGACUCCUAAUGAAGUCUGGAGAAGAUAUCUGCUGGUGGCAAUCACUUCACAAAGUAAGGAAGAAGAAAAGAGGUUUGUACACAUGUGAAAGUGGGCAGGCGGUCCAAACCUUAGUGUGUCCAUCAAACAUUUUCUCUAAAACCCUGAGGUGUAUUUCUUCAUAUCAGAAGAACCACUUUUUUAGAUGCCUGGAACAAACCCUGUGGGGAGCGGGGGACUUCAGGACACAGACAGGGGUAGAGAAAUAAAGAAGGAGAGCCAGAAGGUCAAACCAUCAAAGGAUUGUCAUUCUUGCUGAACACGGACAACACUGACCUGAUAAAUAUUUAGUGAACAUCUGUGAGAACAGCACAUAACUGAGUGGUGGUGGUGGUGGGGAAACAGUCCUAAUGUGGACAGAUGUGGCACUUAUUACCCAUAAGGAAUCAGUAUGUAACAAAUUCUGUUCCUAAGAAUUAUUGGAUUUGUGAUUUUAUUGUGCCACAUAUGUAUUAUAGCCCAUAAUAACAGUAACUAAUAAUGCUCUUGUUUAUAGAAAAGGGAACAGUGCCCUGCAAAGGACAAAUCCCCACUCUCUGGGGUUAGAGCACAUAUUAGAAGCUCCUAACAGGGAA
rnacentral:lncRNA from 1 species